UACCAGCACCCCGAGUGGUCGGGACGUUUAUUGGGCCUAAAGCAUCCGUAGCCGGUUCUACAAGUCUUCCGUUAAAUCCACCUGCUUAACAGAUGGGCUGCGGAAGAUACUAUGGAGCUAGGAGGCGGGAGAGGCAAGCAGGUGACUCGAUGGGUAGGGGUAAAAUCCGUUGAUCCAUUGAAGACCACCAGUGGCGAAGGCGGCUUGCCAGAACGCGCUCGACGGUGAGGGAUGAAAGCUGGGGGAGCAAACCGG
rnacentral:rRNA from 1 species